UACGUAGGGUGCGAGCGUUAAUCGGAAUUACUGGGCGUAAAGCGUGCGCAGGCGGUUGUGCAAGACAGAGGGGAAAUCCCCGGGCUUAACCUGGGAACUGCCUUUGUGACUGCACGGCUAGAGUGUGUCAGAGGGGGGUAGAAUUCCACGUGUAGCAGUGAAAUGCGUAGAUAUGUGGAGGAAUACCGAUGGCGAAGGCAGCCCCCUGGGAUAACACUGACGCUCAUGCACGAAAGCGUGGGGAGCAAACAGG
rnacentral:rRNA from 1 species